rnacentral:lncRNA from 1 species
UGGCAUUUUUGGAUGGUGUGAAUAGGAGUGAGUUUAGAGCCCAAUCCAAAAUUAAGAAAAAUUCAUGCGAAAUUACAUAAUAAAAUAAAAUAAUAAAACUUAAAUAAGAGAGAUCACAAUAUACAAAUAAAUAAAAAGUUGUUAAAGAAAAAAAGAAAGUAAAAAAAAGUGCAAGCAAAACGUGAGUCUCUCUCACUUUGCGUGAAAAAUAAA